rnacentral:tRNA from 1 species
GCCCCUGUAGCUCAGCGGAUAGAGUAGCGGAUUCCUAAUCCGUUGGUCGUGGGUUCGAGUCCCGCCAGGGGCACCA